rnacentral:rRNA from 1 species
GACAGGAGGAUGCAAGCGUUAUCCGGAAUAUCGGUGGCGUAAAGCGUCUGUAGGUGGUUCAAUAAGUCAACUGUUAAAUCUUGAGGCUCAACUUCAAAAUCGCAGUCGAAACUAUUGGACUCGAGUAUAGUAGGGGUAAAGGGAAUUUCCAGUGGAGCGGUGAAAUGCGUAGAGAUUGGAAAGAACACCAAUGGCGAAAGCACUUUACUGGGCUAUUACUGACACUGAGAGACGAAAGCUAGGGGAGCGAAUGGG